rnacentral:rRNA from 1 species
GCAAGUCGAGCGAGAAAGCUCCUUCGGGAGUGAGUACAGCGGCGGACGGUUGAGUAACACGUGAGAAUCUGUCCUCUAGUGGAGAAUACCCUCGAGAAAUUGAGGUUAAUUCUGCAUAAGUCCCUUCGGGGAGAAAGGUGGCCUCUUGCUACCGCUAGUGGAGGAGCUUGCGGACUAUCAGCUUGUUGGUGAGGUAAAGGCUUACCAAGGCUAUGACGGAUAGCUGGCUUGAGAGAGUGGUC